CUGCUUGCAGUCCCGUGCUCAGUGACUCUGAACAUGGACGGCUCCGUGUGGAUCUCUCUCUCCCAGCCGGUCCGAGCUCUCACACCUGGACAGUGCUGUACAAAGGCGACGAGUGUCUGGGCAGCGGGAAGAUCGUGCAGCUGGGGCCCAGCGAGCACACGCUGCAGAAGGGCAGGGAGCGGCUGGCCGCGGCUGUGCAGGAGCGUCCUGCACCUGAAGCGGCGCGCUGAGGCCGUCCAGCCGUGUGGAGAGACCUCCAUGCAGCAGCGAGAACGGCUCUGCGCUCAGAGGAACCGCCUGUGGUCAAACCAAAGGCCGGAAAUGAUCCUCCAGAUGGAAAAAGCUCUUCAGGAAGAGAACAGCUGCUGGUGGAAACGUUUUAAUGUAAAGUAGUAGGAAAGUAAAAGGCCAGGCUUCUUUUGGGAGUGUCUGUGCUCCAAUUAACACCCUUAAAUCAAAGGAAGUAGAACAUUUUAUAGAAAUAUAUGAUUUAUUUUUCGUUUUUUCUUAAACUCUUUAAAGCUGCUCAACUUUCCAGAACGUAUGCUCACCUUUUUGUGAGCCUGGAGCAGAAGUUUCCAUCAACAGCAGUUUUGUGUCUAAUGAUGGUUUUUCUGCAUCGAGGCUCAAAAACACCAAAAGGUUUUAGUUUAGUUUUUGAAAGAGCAACGAAAUGUUUAUAAUUUCUGCUACAACAAUAAAAUAAAUGGUUGUUUUAAUUUGAUCUCUCGUAAACUAAUUUAUUUACAUGCUGCAUUACAAAUUAUUUGGACAAACAAAAAUGUUUUACAUGUAUAUAUGUGUGGUUACAUAAAAUGAAAUGUAUGAAAAAAGACGAAAUCUCAAAGUAACAUCAAUCAAAAGUUUGUUGCCCUAAUUUUAGAAAAAAACUUGGAUUUUAUUUUUGAUAGAAAUGUAAACAAGUCUCACUUUGUGGUGUUGUGCGUCAGUAAAACCACACGGGGUCGCUGUUGUUCAAGUAAAUAUAGACGAUUUAAACUGAUUUAAUUUGAGUAUAAAUUACGUUUUUUUUCCUUUCCUUACGGUUUUAUUUAAAUGUAAAGGUAUAAAACCUAAAGUCAACCAAAAAAUAAAGAAAUUACUGGUAAAACAGGGCUUUAAAUUCUAACUUAGUAAACAAAAAAUAGCAUUAAAGAUGUGGCAUUAACCGCUAAAAUCCACUGAUAUAAAACAUAAUAAUUUAUGUUUAUGGUUUUUGUUCAUAUCUCUUCAUAUCAUUUGAGCAGACAUUCUCUGGAAAAGCAAAGCUGCAUCAUGAGCUUCUUUGAAUGGAUAACCAGCAUUUUCCAUGUUUUUGAAGAUGCUCAGGUUCGCACCAGCGUUCUCAGACAGACAGAGACUCCGGGCCCAAUGGCAGGGUGAGCUAUACCUUCCAGGGGGGUGAUGAUGGAGAAGGAGAUUUUUCCAUUGAACCUUACUCUGGGAUCAUAAGGACGGCUCGGAAACUGGACCGUGAAAAUGUCCCAGUUUACAACUUGAAAGCCUUCGCUUCAAUUUCUCUGCUUUUCGGUAAAUUGUUUCUUCUUCCUCCUCAGUUUGAGUAAAACUGACAGAAUCGUUGUGUUGCACGUUGGAAACUAUUCUCUAAUAAACCAAAUGACUUUGGAAGUUUGAACUAAUGUCUCCCGCGCUGUGGAACUUCUCACAUCUCCAUACAAAUGAGGGCCCCCCCCCCCCCCCCCCGCGGAAGCGUCCCGGAGGGGGGACACAACAGGUUUAUGGAAAUGAGCCGCAGAGGAGGAGGAGGAGGAGGAGAGCCGCGGAGCCAUUUUGUACUCAUUUAAACUUUAGUGGGACUCCGCCGCGCGCCGUGGACACCAUGGACGCCGCGCGCGCUUUUCCGAGUUAAAACUCUGCCAUGAGGGAUGAAAGCGAAGCGCGCGGGGAGGGGAGGAGCUAAUCCUUGAAGUUGAUUCGGGAGC
rnacentral:lncRNA from 1 species